UACGUAGGGUGCGAGCGUUAAUCGGAAUGACUGGGCGUAAAGGGUGCGUAGGCGGUUUUUUAAGACUGAUGUGAAAUGCCUGGGCUUAACCUAGGGAUGGCAUGGGUGACUGGAAGACUAGAGUGAGUCAGAGGGGGGUAGAAUUCCACGUGUAGCAGUGAAAUGCGUAGAGAUGUGGAGGAAUACCGAUGGCGAAGGCAGCCCCCUGGGAUGACACUGACGCUGAGGCACGAAAGCGUGGGGAGCAAACAGG
rnacentral:rRNA from 1 species